rnacentral:tRNA from 1 species
GUGCUGGUGGUGGAACUGGUAGACACGCCAUCUUGAGGGGGUGGUGAGGUAACUCGUGCGAGUUCAAGUCUCGCUCAGCACACCA